UACGUAGGGGGCAAGCGUUGUCCGGAUUUAUUGGGCGUAAAGAGCGUGUAGGCGGUUAGGUAGGGUCGUUGUGAAAACUCGAGGCUCAACCUCGAGACGCCGAUGGAAACCAUCUAACUAGAGUCCGGAAGAGGAGAGUGGAAUUCCUGGUGUAGCGGUGAAAUGCGCAGAUAUCAGGAAGAACACCCGUGGCUAAGGCGGCUCUCUAGUACGGUACUGACGCUGAGACGCGAAAGCGUGGGGAGCGAACAGG
rnacentral:rRNA from 1 species